GCAGCAGGCGCGCAAAUUACCCACUCCCGGCACGGGGAGGUAGUGACGAAAAAUAACGAUACGGGACUCAUCCGAGGCCCGUUAAUCGGAAUGAGUACACUCUAAACCCUUUAACGAGGAUCAAUUGGAGGGCAAGUCUGGUGCCAGCAGCCGCGGUAAUUCCAGCUCCAAUAGCGUAUAUUAAAGUUGUUGCGGUUAAAAAGCUCGUAGUCGAAUUUGUGUCUCGCGCCGCCGGUUCAUCGUUCGCGGUGUCAACUGGCGUGCCGCGAGACGUCCUGCCGGCGGGUCUGCUCUCUCGGGCAGCCCAAUUCAAUCCUGCCGCGGUGCUCUUCGUUGAGUGUCGAGGUGGGCCGGCACGUUUACUUUGAACAAAUUAGAGUGCUUAAAGCAGGCUAAAACUUCGCCUGAAUAAUGAGUGCAUGGAAUAAUGAAACAGGACCUCGGUUCUAUUUUGUUGGUUUUCGGAACCCCGAGGUAAUGAUUAACAGGAACGGAUGGGGGCAUUCGUAUUGCGACGUUAGAGGUGAAAUUCUUGGAUCGUCGCAAGACGGACAGAAGCGAAAGCAUUUGCCAAAAACGUUUUCAUUGAUCAAGAACGAAAGUUAGAGGUUCGAAGGCGAUCAGAUACCGCCCUAGUUCUAACCAUAAACGAUGCCAGCUAGCGAUCCGCCGACGUUCCUCCGAUGACUCGGCGGGCAGCUUCCGGGAAACCAAAGCUUUUGGGUUCCGGGGGAAGUAUGGUUGCAAAGCUGAAACUUAAAGGAAUUGACGGAAGGGCACCACCAGGAGUGGAGCCUGCGGCUUAAUUUGACUCAACACGGGAAACCUCACCAGGCCCAGACACCGGAAGGAUUGACAGAUUGAGAGCUCUUUCUUGAUUCGGUGGGUGGUGGUGCAUGGCCGU
rnacentral:rRNA from 1 species